AACGCGAAGAACCUUACCAGGUCUUGACAUCCUCUGACAAUCCUAGAGAUAGGACGUUCCCCUUCGGGGGACAGAGUGACAGGUGGUGCAUGGUUGUCGUCAGCUCGUGUCGUGAGAUGUUGGGUUAAGUCCCGCAACGAGCGCAACCCUUGUCCUUAGUUGCCAGCAUUUAGUUGGGCACUCUAAGGAGACUGCCGGUGACAAACCGGAGGAAGGUGGGGAUGACGUCAAAUCAUCAUGCCCCUUAUGACCUGGGCUACACACGUGCUACAAUGGAUGGUACAAAGGGCUGCGAGACCGCGAGGUUUAGCCAAUCCCAUAAAACCAUUCUCAGUUCGGAUUGUAGGCUGCAACUCGCCUACAUGAAGCCGGAAUCGCUAGUAAUCGUGGAUCAGCAUGCCACGGUGAAUACGUUCCCGGGCCUUGUA
rnacentral:rRNA from 1 species